GCCUAAUCUAAUGGGCCGAGUUCUUUGGUCCUAUCCUGUUCAAUAUCUUUAUCAAGGCCUUCAAUGAAAACAGGGAGCACAUUCUGAGUCCUCAGUGAAUACAGAGGGUUUGGCUCCAGAGGAGAGGAAAACCCAGACCUUGUAGGGCCCCUCCAAACCCCAGGAACACAGAACAACUCCAACUCCAGACCACUUCCAUGGCUCCUGGAAAGCCCGCCAGCCAGCAGGAGCUGUGUAUCUGCAUGCCAACCACGACUCAGAAAUUGUGUCGAAUGUUCGACUCAACUGGCCCAUGCAGAUGAAGGAAGAAGGAUUGGAAUAAAGUUUCUUGCUGUCCUCAUUCUAGCUCUACCCACUGUCACUUCCUCAGAGAGGCUUCCCUGGACCCAAACUGGAUAACCUCUCUGGCCACUGACCAUUCUCUCUGCCCUUACCCUACGGGAUUUUUCU